rnacentral:rRNA from 1 species
GCUCAGAUUGAACGCUGGCGGCAGGCCUAACACAUGCAAGUCGAGCGGUAGCACAGAGAGCUUGCUCUCGGGUGACGAGCGGCGGACGGGUGAGUAAUGUCUGGGAAACUGCCUGAUGGAGGGGGAUAACUACUGGAAACGGUAGCUAAUACCGCAUAACGUCGCAAGACCAAAGUGGGGGACCUUCGGGCCUCAUGCCAUCAGAUGUGCCCAGAUGGGAUUAGCUAGUAGGUGGGGUAACGGCUCACCUAGGCGACGAUCCCUAGCUGGUCUGAGAGGAUGACCAGCCACACUGGAACUGAGACACGGUCCAGACUCCUACGGGAGGCAGCAGUGGGGAAUAUUGCACAAUGGGCGCAAGCCUGAUGCAGCCAUGCCGCGUGUGUGAAGAAGGCCUUCGGGUUGUAAAGCACUUUCAGCGGGGAGGAAGGCGGUAAGGUUAAUAACCUUGUCGAUUGACGUUACCCGCAGAAGAAGCACCGGCUAACUCCGUGCCAGCAGCCGCGGUAAUACGGAGGGUGCAAGCGUUAAUCGGAAUUACUGGGCGUAAAGCGCACGCAGGCGGUCUGUCAAGUCGGAUGUGAAAUCCCCGGGCUCAACCUGGGAACUGCAUUCGAAACUGGCAGGCUAGAGUCUUGUAGAGGGGGGUAGAAUUCCAGGUGUAGCGGUGAAAUGCGUAGAGAUCUGGAGGAAUACCGGUGGCGAAGGCGGCCCCCUGGACAAAGACUGACGCUCAGGUGCGAAAGCGUGGGGAGCAAACAGGAUUAGAUACCCUGGUAGUCCACGCCGUAAACGAUGUCGAUUUGGAGGUUGUGCCCUUGAGGCGUGGCUUCCGGAGCUAACGCGUUAAAUCGACCGCCUGGGGAGUACGGCCGCAAGGUUAAAACUCAAAUGAAUUGACGGGGGCCCGCACAAGCGGUGGAGCAUGUGGUUUAAUUCGAUGCAACGCGAAGAACCUUACCUGGUCUUGACAUCCACAGAACUUUCCAGAGAUGGAUUGGUGCCUUCGGGAACUGUGAGACAGGUGCUGCAUGGCUGUCGUCAGCUCGUGUUGUGAAAUGUUGGGUUAAGUCCCGCAACGAGCGCAACCCUUAUCCUUUGUUGCCAGCGGUUCGGCCGGGAACUCAAAGGAGACUGCCAGUGAUAAACUGGAGGAAGGUGGGGAUGACGUCAAGUCAUCAUGGCCCUUACGACCAGGGCUACACACGUGCUACAAUGGCAUAUACAAAGAGAAGCGACCUCGCGAGAGCAAGCGGACCUCAUAAAGUAUGUCGUAGUCCGGAUUGGAGUCUGCAACUCGACUCCAUGAAGUCGGAAUCGCUAGUAAUCGUAGAUCAGAAUGCUACGGUGAAUACGUUCCCGGGCCUUGUACACACCGCCCGUCACACCAUGGGAGUGGGUUGCAAAAGAAGUAGGUAGCUUAACCUUCGGGAGGGCGCUUACCACUUUGUGAUUCAUGACUGGGGUGAAGUCGUA